rnacentral:rRNA from 1 species
UGGGGAAUAUUGCACAAUGGGCGAAAGCCUGAUGCAGCAACGCCGCGUGAGUGAUGAAGGCCUUCGGGUUGUAAAGCUCUGUCUUUUGGGACGAUAAUGACGGUACCAAAGGAGGAAGCCACGGCUAACUACGUGCCAGCAGCCGCGGUAAUACGUAGGUGGCAAGCGUUGUCCGGAUUUACUGGGCGUAAAGGAUGCGUAGGCGGAUUUUUAAGUGAGAUGUGAAAACCCUAAGCUUAACUUGGGGACUGCAUUUCAUACUGGAAAUCUAGAGUGCGGGAGAGGAGAAUGGAAUUCCUAGUGUAGCGGUGAAAUGCGUAGAGAUUAGGAAGAACACCAGUGGCGAAGGCGAUUCUCUGGACCGUAACUGACGCUGAGGCAUGAAAGCGUGGGUAGCAAACAGGAUUAGAUACCCUGGUAGUCCACGCCGUAAACGAUGAGUACUAGGUGUAGGAGGUAUCGACCCCUUCUGUGCCGCAGUUAACACAAUAAGUACUCCGCCUGGGAAGUACGAUCGCAAGAUUAAAAACUCAAAAGGAAUUGACGGGGGUCAUAGCUGUUUUUCCU